AACGAACGCUGGCGGCAUGCCUAACACAUGCAAGUCGAACGAGACCUUCGGGUCUAGUGGCGCACGGGUGCGUAACGCGUGGGAACCUGCCCUUAGGUUCGGAAUAACUCCCCGAAAGGGGUGCUAAUACCGGAUAAUGUCUUCGGACCAAAGAUUUAUCGCCUUUGGAUGGGCCCGCGUUGGAUUAGCUAGUUGGUAGGGUAAAAGCCUACCAAGGCGACGAUCCAUAGCUGGUCUGAGAGGAUGAUCAGCCACACUGGGACUGAGACACGGCCCAGACUCCUACGGGAGGCAGCGGUGGGGAAUAUUGGACAAUGGGCGAAAGCCUGAUCCAGCAAUGCCGCGUGAGUGAUGAAGGCCUUAGGGUUGGAAAGCUCUUUUACCCGGGAUGAUAAUGACAGUACCGGGAGAAUAAGCUCCGGCUAACUCCGUG
rnacentral:rRNA from 1 species